ensembl:snRNA U6 U6 spliceosomal RNA
GUACUCACUCCAACUGCACAUACAUUGCAAUUGGAAUGAUAUAGAGAACAUCAGCAGAACCCUGCACAAGGACAACACCAACUUCGUGAAGAGUUCCAUAUUUUU